rnacentral:lncRNA from 1 species
AAUACAUGAUAGUAUCUGAUUUAUCGAUUUUAUGAUUUAAAUGCAUAUAUUGCUGCCUUAUGUGACUAUUGUUAAAUUAGAAAACUGAGAUAUGAUUGUAUUCCCUGAUGCAUGUUUGUUUGUUUAUGUGAGUACGGUUGAUUUGGAAAAUGGAGAUUAAGGAAAAACGAAAAAAUUAUGUGAUUAAGUGAAUGGAUGAAACGACAGCCUUAUUGGAUAUCCUAGGAGAUGAUGGAUGGAUCAGGUACAAUAGAGAACCCUAUCGUGAACGUUGUCUCAUACCA